AUCAUUUUAAGCACUACAAAACUAUCUAAAUUUUUACGUAAUUUUUCAAUCACAAGCAACUAGUCUUUUUAUGCUCCGUAAUACAACAUAUCAAAAUCUAUCUCGCUCUUGGUACAGGUAAGAUCCAAAGCCGCUAAGUUAUCAUUUUUCAGUAUCACCCGCCUCGCAUUCAUAUUCUUUAUUAGUAGAUACCCCAUAAUUCAGCCUAAUAGUAUUACAGAUCCUUAUAUUUCGUGCAAAACUAGAUUGUCAGACGUCAUUCUCAUCUCGGAUAGAGCCUUCAGCUGCUUCACAACCUCUCUUAAGCUGUCGUGCACCAUCUGUGUUCACUUUAGUCCAUCCUGAUUUAGGACGCUACCAACAAAUUUGCUGCCAUGUCAUCUCCUUUUCUCUGUUAUCCGACUCAUCUGUAUUAUGAACUUGGCUUUUAACCAAUAAAAUAGUUCCUUUUGUCUAUAUAGUCCUUCGCACAAGGCUACAGCCAAAAAUUUUGGUAGCUCCAAAUCCAAAGGCAAGGUUUAUUUGUUAUUGGAAUAUAUGGCAAAGGUGCUGCCAUCAUUGUGUUUGGCAUCAUAAUCAUAGCAUCACCACUGUUAUUUUGGUGGUGAAAAAUGCUUUUGAAAAUGGUAGUGAAAAAAGAAAUUUUAAAAAUUGUUUUAAAAAAUUUGGAUAGUGUUUAUUUUUAUUGUUAAAAAGUGGUUUUUGGAAGACGUGAUAUUAUAAAGUAGAAUAUUUAGGGUGGGUUUGGAUGUUUAUUUGUGGUUAGUGUAAUAAUAGUGAUGGCGGUGGGAUUAGAUACUGUAACGAUACGUAGUGUGAAACAAAAAGUAAGCUAAACGCACCAAACCGCACCUCAGCAUUCAUCCAAAUCCACCCUUAAUGAGAGAUAAAAAAGAUAAUUUCAUUAAAAAGUACAUUUUAAUUUGAAUUAAAAUUUUUAUUCAAAAUCAGGAUUUAAUUUUAAAAAAUUGUUUAUUUAUUAUUAUUUUAUUUGAAAUUAAGGUUUGAGUUUGAAAAAUACUUUCCAUAAACAAAGCGAUAAAAGAAAAUCUCCAACUUUACAAGUUUAUUUCGUAUUGCUUUUCUGUAUUAAAAUUUUCGGAGCUCAGGUAAGCUCUUUUUAUCCUGCCUUGAUAUAUUGAUUAAAAUAUCCCUUUUUAUAAUUAUUUUUUAUGUUUUUAAUUUUAUAAGAAUUAAUAUAUUAUAAAAUAUUAUUUAAAAAAAUUGAAACGUGAUUAAUAAUAACCUGAUCAUGAGUUGGACUACUCGCUUGAAAAAUGGGAAGGUUUAGGACUUUGAGCAAAAAUAUAGACCCGAAAAAUAGAAUUAGAUAAAAAAAUAUAUGACAUGUUUUCUAAAUGAAUCAAGCCUCGAGCAACAUUUUUUUGGCCUGAACCCAACCCGAAUUUGACAAAAAAAAUAUGUUGCAAUUUGUUGUUGUUUUGUUACGGUUAUGUUGUUGUUUUGCUACCAUUUCACUAUUAUAUUAUUACUAUUUUGUUGUUAUUAUUUGGAUAUUGUAUAAUUUUUGUUUUAUUGUUAAUUUUGCUACUAUUUUAAAGGUAAUUUACUUGUUAAGUUGCAACUAUGUUAGUGUUAUUUAAGUAUAGAGACUUUUUUAUAUGAAUUUUUAAUUUUUUUUAAAAAAUAUUUAUUUUAAUGUUUUUAAUCUAUUUGAUGUAUUAUAUUUUAAAUUUAUUUUUAUCUAAAAAAAUUAAUAUGAGUAGGUCAGGUCGAGACUAGACAAAAUUUUAGAUUCAUUUUUCGGGUCAGAUCCGAAUCUAGAAAAUGGGCCAAAAUUUUUUACAUUGACCCGAUCCAAACUCAUCCCGGGCUAAUUUUGAUAUCCAAUUUUCAUCCAUAAUUUACGUAAACAUAAAAUGAUUGUGAUUCAUGCUUGUUCUACUUGCUUCUACAUUAUAAUGAAUGAGUAAUGAAGGAACUAAAAGUAGAUUUUGGGAAAAUGCAGAAUUUUUUUUUUAGGAAAGGGGAAUCCGAAUACUCACUUUUAGAAGAUGAUGAUGCACCCACUGCUGAUGCUGGAAUUGUUGUAAAUUACCACAUUAAUGCCUUCAUAUUAUUCAUUCACUCCUUUUGACUAUGCCUUCAAUUAAAAUUUAAUUUUUAAAGAAUCAUUUUAUUGUGAGAAUUGAGAGGCUUGGCAAUGAAGAUAGAUUGGAUAUGGAAGGAAUUAGGUUCCUUUUUUUAAUGAAAAUCUCAC
rnacentral:lncRNA from 1 species